rnacentral:rRNA from 1 species
UACGUAGGGGGCAAGCGUUGUCCGGAAUCAUUGGGCGUAAAGCGCGUGUAGGCGGUUUCGUAAGUCUGCUGUGAAAGUCGGAGGCUCAACCUUCGAAAGCCGGUGGAUACUGUCGGGCUAGAGUACGGAAGAGGCGAGUGGAAUUCCUGGUGUAGCGGUGAAAUGCGCAGAUAUCAGGAGGAACACCAAUUGCGAAGGCAGCUCGCUGGACGUUACUGACGCUGAGACGCGAAAGCGUGGGAGCAAACAGG